rnacentral:rRNA from 1 species
UACGGAGGGUGCAAGCGUUAUCCGGAUUCACUGGGUUUAAAGGGUGCGUAGGUGGGCAGGUAAGUCAGUGGUGAAAUCUCCGGGCUUAACCCGGAAACUGCCGUUGAUACUAUUUGUCUUGAAUGUUGUGGAGGUAAGCGGAAUAUGUCAUGUAGCGGUGAAAUGCUUAGAUAUGACAUAGAACACCAAUUGCGAAGGCAGCUUACUACACAAUGAUUGACGCUGAGGCACGAAAGCGUGGGGAUCAAACAGG